rnacentral:tRNA from 1 species
AGUUAAUAAGCUAAAUUUAGCUUAUAUUUUGAAAAUAUAAAUUUAGAAAUUUAAAAUUUUCUAUUAACUU